GCGGCGUUGGUGUAAUCUGGUAGCAUAUGGGACUGUGGCUCCCCUGGUCCGGGUUCAAAUCCCGGUCGCCGCCCCA
rnacentral:tRNA from 1 species